rnacentral:rRNA from 1 species
UACAGAGGGUGCAAGCGUUAAUCGGAGUUACUGGGCGUAAAGGGCGCGUAGGCGGUUAUAUAAGUGAGAUGUGAAAUCCCUGGGCUCAACCUAGGAACUGCAUCUUAUACUGUAUGACUGGAGUAUUGUAGAGGGUAGUGGAAUUUCCGGUGUAGCGGUGAAAUGCGUAGAGAUCGGAAGGAACACCAGUGGCGAAGGCGGCUACCUGGACAAAUACUGACGCUGAGGCGCGAAAGCGUGGGGAGCAAACAGG